AAUGCGCUUUUGUUUUGGCUUUAAGGAAAGUGUUUCCGUUUUAUAAGAUUAUGCCGGGGAAGGUUUUCCGGUUUGUCCCGGAGGGCUUGUAGCUCAGUUGGUUAGAGCGCGCGCUUGAUAAGCGUGAGGUCGGAGGUUCAAGUCCUCCCAGGCCCACCAAUUUGGUUUAAGCGCUUAUAAAGUGCUUAUAAUGAGGUGCACAGAARAGGUAUAGUAUAUAGGAUAUGUGCAGCUUAUCUAUUGCGCUAAAAARAU
rnacentral:misc_RNA from 1 species